UACGAAGGGUGCAAACGUUGCUCGGAAUCAUUGGGCGUAAAGCGCACGUAGGCGGCUUCGCAAGUCGGAUGUGAAAUCCCUCGGCUCAACCGAGGACGUGCAUCCGAAACUGCGGAGCUUGAGUACUGAAGAGGAUCGCGGAAUUCCCGGUGUAGAGGUGAAAUUCGUAGAUAUCGGGAGGAACACCAGUGGCGAAGGCGGCGAUCUGGGCAGAUACUGACGCUGAGGUGCGAAGGCGUGGGGAGCAAACAGG
rnacentral:rRNA from 1 species